rnacentral:lncRNA from 1 species
GAUAGGGAUGAGUUGGUUUUGCAUUUAAAUUCAAAUUUGAUUUGAAUUCAAAUGUGCAACCACUUAUCUUUAUCCUCUCAUGCGGAUAAGACACGUUCGACGAUGUUUUAAAAAGAGGAGAAAGGUGGGACGUGCGUAAAAAUUUUAGGAGAGAAACUUUGGUGCGUGAGGAAAGUUUGUGCGCAAGGUGAAGGUCCAAAACCUUUCGAGAGAAAAAGAAAGAAAAGAAAGAAAAUUGAGCGCAGGGUUUCUAGUGUGUACCCUAGGGUUUCUACCUAGGGUUUGGGAAGUGAGAUUGGUGUGCCACGAGUGUCGUGAGUCCACCAAAUUUUAGGGAGAGAUCCAUCAGUCUCUCAAGCAACCGUGCAAAUGAUCCAGAGCAUCCGAGGAGUCGGCACACAUUGAUCGAAGGAGUUCGAUCAACAUCUGCCAUCAAAAGGGUGAAAUUACGAACUAGCAUUCGUGAGGAGCUGAUCAGACGGGAGCUUCGUGUGGACGAUCCGCAG